rnacentral:sRNA from 1 species
GUACCUCUACAACCGCAUGGGCUACUGGAGCGACUGGCCCGUGCCCAUCCUUGUGACCACAGCUGCUGCCUUCGCUUACAUUGCUGGCCUCCUGGUCCUGGCACUAUGUCACAUUGCCGUGGGGCAGCAGAUGAACCUGCACUGGCUGCACAAGGGCACAGCGCCAUUCCUGCAUGUGGGGGCCCUGGCAGCAGUCACCAUGCUCUCCUGGAUCGUGGCAGGACAGUUUGCCCGCGCAGAGCGGACCUCCUCCCAGGUGACCAUUCUCUGUACCUUCUUCACCGUGGUGUUUGCCCUCUACCUGGCCCCUCUCACCAUCUCCUCUCCCUGCAUCAUGGAGAAGAAGGACCUCGGCCCCAAGCCUGCUCUCAUUGGCCACCGUGGGGCCCCCAUGCUGGCUCCAGAGCACACACUCAUGUCCUUCCGGAAGGCCCUCGAGCAGAAGCUGUAUGGGCUCCAGGCUGACAUUACCAUCAGCCUGGACGGUGUGCCCUUCCUCAUGCACGACGCCACCCUGCGGCGCACCACCAAUGUGGAGGAGGAGUUCCCGGAGCUGGCCCGCAGGCCUGCCUCCAUGCUCAACUGGACCACCCUGCAGAGACUCAACGCUGGCCAGUGGUUCCUGAAGGUCUGGCUGCACCUGAUCCCAAUCUUAGGCAUGGAAAACACCAGCAGGGACUGCAAGGAGUGAGAGGUGCAAGGGUGGCCAUCAGCUUCGAGACCCCCACUCUCAGAGCUUUUCCGACCUCCACCCAAGCUGCUUAGUGGCCUCCUAGGCUCCUGCCACUGCUGCCAGACUCGUGGUUGUCACUGCUUGUUCUGGGUCCAUUUCCCUCACUAGAAAAGGUUGACAGGGAUGAGAGCAGUGAAUAGAAUUGUUAACUCUGUAAAACUCUGGAGAGGGGUUGGCUCUCUGGUCUGAAAUGCUCUAAAAGGAGAAAUGCUGUGGGUCUGGGAGCGAUUCCAAGCAAGCCAUCCUCUGUCCUCUUGGUAAGCAGGG